rnacentral:rRNA from 1 species
AGUGGCGGACGGGUGAGUAACGCGUGGGUAACCUGCCUCAUACAGGGGGAUAACAGUUAGAAAUGACUGCUAAUACCGCAUAAGACCACAGCACCGCAUGGUGCAGGGGUAAAAACUCCGGUGGUAUGAGAUGGACCCGCGUCUGAUUAGGUAGUUGGUGGGGUAACGGCCUACCAAGCCGACGAUCAGUAGCCGACCUGAGAGGGUGACCGGCCACAUUGGAACUGAGACACGGUCCAA